rnacentral:lncRNA from 1 species
CGCCGCAGUAUUCUCCCCCCGGGUGUUGUACGGCAUUCAGCGGGGAAGGAAAACACCCUUCACCCGCGCCUCCCCAGGUAACACCCGCUUUCCAGUGCCCUCGCCGAGCCGCCACAGGGGCUCACGGACACGGUGGCGUUACGUAUCGCGGUAUGUACGACAGGAAGGCACGCCGCAAAACCGUUACGUACCGUUGCUUGGCGAUGCGGCCGCCCUUGCAUUCCACGAAGCCCGAUUGCUGCCAGCAACACCAGCGACACCAUUUGAGCACGUGCCCAACCACCAACUGCCCCAGGUAGCAAAUCGUCAACGCAGGUGCUUGAAUAGGAAACACAACGAAACACUCGACCAGCCUAGCGGCCCGUAAUGGCCACAUGGCCAGUGCAGGCGAAGGAAGGCGAGGGACUCUUUCGCCCUUCUAGUCAGGAUGCAUGCAACAGUGACGUUCAAGGAGGUACAAAUGUAUGUAUGUAUGUAUGUAUGUGUGGGUAUGAGGGGAGGGGAGGGAGGGGAAACACCGGGCAUCGCAGCUGUCAUCGAUCAUCUUCUUAUUCUUCCACACGUCACACGGGCAUGCCUGAAUAUUUAUGUACAUACACACAUACAUACAAACAAACAUACAUGUGCAACCAGCUCCUGGUGAACAUCAUAAAAAUGGCAGACGGGCGGCGGACGGUCCGCACUUCCACACGUUUCCUCCUACAUAUACACACAUACACACAUACACACGUACACACGCGCCUCUCCGCCCCCGUCGCUUCCAUUUCCAAGCCGCUAUGCAACCAUGUACUCGCUUUCUAGCGAGCCGCUGAGCCGCUCUUCACCUGGCGAAGGAAAUAACACCCUAAACCGCACAGUCCUAUGGCGCCAAUUCAUCAAACAUCAGCCUACACGAUCCGCUUUACAUGUAGUUCCUCAUCCGCUCUCACUUCUCCCUCCUCCCACCAGAAAGGUCUGCCCCCAUCUUCGUCCCUCCAGAACCUUCACACACACAGCAGCUCUGCCCUUGUGGUGUCCCCCCGAGGCCGCAACCACGUCGGGGAGGGGGCUCACAUUG